rfam:Cricetulus griseus cell line CHO-K1, whole genome shotgun sequence.
GGGAGAUGGCUCAGUGGUUAAGAGCACUGGCUGCUCUUCCAGAGGACCCGGGUUCAAUUCCCAGCACCCA